rnacentral:rRNA from 1 species
CAGAACGAACGCUGGCGGCGUGCUUAACACAUGCAAGUCGAACGCGAAAGGGACUUCGGUCCUGAGUAAAGUGGCGCACGGGUGCGUAACACGUAUGCAACCUACCUUUAACUGGUGAAUAGCCCCGGGAAAUCGGGAUUAAUACACCAUAACAUUACAAGAGGGCAUCCUCUAAUAAUUAAGAACUUCGGUUAAAGAUGGGCAUGCGGGACAUUAGCUAGUUGGUGAGGUAACGGCUCACCAAGGCAACGAUGUCUAGGGGUCCUGAGAGGGUUAUCCCCCACACUGGUACUGAGACACGGACCAGACUCCUACGGGAGGCAGCAGUAAGGAAUAUUGGUCAAUGGGCGCAAGCCUGAACCAGCCAUGCCGCGUGAAGGAAGACGGCGCUAUGCGUUGUAAACUUCUUUUGUCAGGGAAUAAAUGUAGGUACGUGUACUUACUUGAAGGUACCUGAAGAAUAAGCAUCGGCUAACUCCGUGCCAGCCGCCGC